rnacentral:lncRNA from 1 species
UUGAGUCCUACGUUGCUCUGCGAAGGGGUGAUGCAGCUCCUGGAAGUCGAGUUGCUUACCGGAUGACAGUGAGACAACUCGAAGCAUUGAUCAGAUUAUCGGAAGCUAUUGCUCGAAGUCACCUGGACAAAGUGGUAAAUUACCCAUGUGAUUAAAUUUGCUUCAUGGUUGAUGAUCAACACACGUCUUCAUCAAUUAUUGCUACAUAGAACCACCCACUGAACGCGUCCAUCCCUGACCCGCAUGAAAAAUGUCCGGUAUUUUUAAGCACCUGAUUGGGUGUUACGUCAUAUAAUUGCCUACUUUUAGCAAGUUUACCAGCGUGUUUAAAUGAUCUCCCAAAUCUCACUCUAACCCGCAAGCAUGGAGAUAUAUUUCUGCAUCUGCGGCCUGAAUUUUUUUUUUUUCUUCUCCUCAUCUAUGCAGGUGCAUCCACCUCAUGUGCGCAUGGCAGUGAGGUUAUUGAAGACAUCCAUAAUCAGGCAAGAGGAAGAUUAUAAAACUUACUGUGGUUGCUGUCCGGAUCUGUCGUAACACCAGGCCUCACGCCACGUUUUUUGACCUUGUAGUGUUGAAUCGAGCGAGAUUGACCUCUCCGAUUUCCAAGAUGACGAAGAUGCGGCCACGGUUCUUGACAGAGG